rnacentral:rRNA from 1 species
GACGAACGCUGGCGGCGUGCUUAACACAUGCAAGUCGAACGAGACGAUUGAAAGCUUGCUUUUGAAAGUCGAGUGGCAAACGGGUGAGUAACGCGUAGGCAACCUGCCUUCGAGAUGGGGACAACAGUCCGAAAGGACUGCUAAUACCGAAUGUUGUGACGGAACCACAUGGAUUCGUCAUUAAAGAUGGCCUCUAUUUGGAUUCGAGGAAAUCUACGGAGCAAUUCGAGGGGCUCGCGGCCUAUCAGCUAGUUGGCGAGGUAAUGGCUNACCAAGGCGACGACGGGUAGCUGGUCUGAGAGGACGGCCAGCCACAUUGGGACUGAGAUACGGCCCAGACUCCUACGGGAGGCAGCAUGGGAAGUCUUGCGC